rnacentral:rRNA from 1 species
AUUGAACGCUGGCGGCAUGCCUUACACAUGCAAGUCGUACGGUAACAGGUCUUCGGAUGCUGACGAGUGGCGAACGGGUGAGUAAUGCAUCGGAACGUGCCCAGUAGUGGGGGAUAGCCCGGCGAAAGCCGGAUUAAUACCGCAUACGACCUGAGGGUGAAAGGGGGGGAUCGCAAGACCUCUCGCUAUUGGAGCGGCCGAUGUCAGAUUAGCUAGUUGGUGGGGUAAAGGCCUACCAAGGCAACGAUCUGUAGUUGGUCUGAGAGGACGACCAGCCACACUGGGACUGAGACACGGCCCAGACUCCUACGGGAGGCAGCAGUGGGGAAUUUUGGACAAUGGGCGCAAGCCUGAUUCAGCAAUGCCGCGUGCAGGAAGAAGGCCUUCGGGUUGUAAACUGCUUUUGUCAGGGAAGAAAUCUUCUGGGUUAAUACCUCGGGAGGAUGACGGUACCUGAAGAAUAAGCACCGGCUAACUACGUGCCAGCCGCCGCGGUAACAC